UUGCAAUUCCAGCUCUCCUCCACUCAGGGUGAACAAACAGAAAAGAGAUGUAAGCUUCAUUGUAUUUCACGUCUGGCACCAUAAAGCCAAAGGCAAUGAUAACUUUUUUGUAAAGGACAACAACACUGAAGUCUGGAUACUGUAGGCAUUCUGACAAAUCAAUUCCAGGCCAGAAGAAUUCGUGGCACAUGGAGUUUAUAGUAGGGAUGUGAUUAGGGCGAACGUAGCAGUAAUCAAUGGGUGCUUCUGGCUCAGCCUUCCAGUUGAGAUCAUUCCUGUGUGGAUACGCCCAGAUUUCUGCCAGCAGCCUGAGUUUGGGGGGCUUUGUCUCAUAAUCACGCCUGAUGUAUGGUUUCAGGACACGGGACGUGUAAGGACUGACAAUGCUGUGGUCUGACAGCAGAUCUUCUG
rnacentral:lncRNA from 1 species